AGUGAACGCUGGCGGUAGGCCUAGCACAUGCAAGUCGAACGGCAGCACAGUAAGAGCUUGCUCUUACGGGUGGCGAGUGGCGGACGGGUGAGGAAUACAUCGGAAUCUACUUUUUCGUGGGGGAUAACGUAGGGAAACUUACGCUAAUACCGCAUACGACCUACGGGUGAAAGCAGGGGAUCUUCGGACCUUGCGCGAUUGAAUGAGCCGAUGUCGGAUUAGCUAGUUGGCGGGGUAAAGGCCCACCAAGGCGACGAUCCGUAGCUGGUCUGAGAGGAUGAUCAGCCACACUGGAACUGCGACACGGUCCAGACUCCUACGGGAGGCAGCAGUGGGGAAUAUUGGACAAUGGGCGCAAGCCUGAUCCAGCCAUACCGCGUGGGUGAAGAAGGCCUUCGGGUUGUAAAGCCCUUUUGUUGGGAAAGAAAAGCAGCAGGUUAAUACCCCGCUGUUCUGACGGUACCCAAAGAAUAAGCACCGGCUAACUUCGUG
rnacentral:rRNA from 1 species